rnacentral:rRNA from 1 species
CAGCCUACGGGACGCAGCAGUGGGGAAUAUUGCACAAUGGGGGAAACCCUGAUGCAGCGACGCCGCGUGAGUGAAGAAGUAUUUCGGUAUGUAAAGCUCUAUCAGCAGGGAAGAAAAUGACGGUACCUGACUAAGAAGCCCCGGCUAACUACGUGCCAGCAGCCGCGGUAAUACGUAGGGGGCAAGCGUUAUCCGGAUUUACUGGGUGUAAAGGGGGAGCAGACGGCAGCGCAAGCCAGGAGUGAAAGCCCGGGGCCCAACCCCGGGACUGCUCUUGGAACUGCGCGGAUGGAGUGCAGGAGGGG